UACGGGGGGGGCAAGCGUUGUUCGGAAUUACUGGGCGUAAAGGGCUCGUAGGCGGCCAACUAAGUCAGACGUGAAAUCCCUCGGCUUAACCGGGGAACUGCGUCUGAUACUGGAUGGCUUGAGUUCGGGAGAGGGAUGCGGAAUUCCAGGUGUAGCGGUGAAAUGCGUAGAUAUCGGGAGGAACACCUGUGGCGAAAGCGGCGCACUGGACCAUAACUGACGCUGAUGCGCGAAAGCUAGGGGAGCAAACAGG
rnacentral:rRNA from 1 species